GAGGGUAUAACUCAAGUGGUAGAGUGCUUGCUUAGCAUGCAUGAGGUCCUGGGUUCAAUCCCCAGUACUUCCG
rfam:Camelus ferus unplaced genomic scaffold scaffold642, whole genome shotgun sequence.